rnacentral:sRNA from 1 species
ACUGGGACUGUAGGGCAUGCUACCAUGCCCAGCUAAUUUUUUUACUUUUUGUAGAGAUGGGGACUCGCUGUGUUGCCCAGGCCUAUCUUGAACCACUGGGCUCAAGUGAUCCUCCCUCCUUAGCCUUCCAAAGUACUGGGAUUGCAGGUGUGAACCACUGUGCCUGGCCUUAGACUUAAAUGCUUUAUCAGGCCUAGCUCUUUUAAGAUUUUGUUUUAAAUGCAGGGUGCAAGAGCCUGGGAACAAUUUCACUUGGGUGCCUGUGAAUAUCAAAGUUUCAAUUUCUAGUAAAUGGUUUAAAAUAGUAAUCCAAUUUGUCCAUGCUAUGGAAACCAUCUGAAUUAGAAUGUAAUGAGUAAAGCUUAAACCUUAGGUCUGUAUUUAACCACAUUGUGUUACUUACUUUUCCCCACAUCCUUUCACACACAAAGUUGAGAAUAGGGUAAAUAAGUGAGCCUGUUCAGCUAAUAUUCUUGGCUUGACCCUUUCACACUUAACAGCAUCAGCCAAGAAACCUGAAUGUGAGCCCAAAUAGUGUCUAUUUUGAUACCUGAAAAUCACUGACCACCUCGCUGAUGGGCAACUCCCUUCAUCACUGGCUUAACUCUCUUGUGCCAUAGGGUAUCUAGAAGCAAAAUAUGCUUGUUAAGUGUAAAGCUGUCUCUGCUUAAAAACAAGUCCCCCUACCACCACCACCACACACACACGCACACACGAGGAAAUUGCCUGUUCCUGGGCUGAUAGGACACCAGUUAAGUAGAAACAGGAGUAUGGAAGAGUGUGAACGUUGAGCUUGGGGAUCAAAAAAUUUGAGGAUAUGUAAGAAAUUAAUAGGAGAAUCAAAUAACAAACUUGAUUCCCUCUAGCUCUCCCUAACUGUAGUUACAUAAAGUUACAACUUGACUAAAACUAGAAUACAAGGAAGGUGUUGACAUGCUCUUCCUCCAUUUAAGAAGCCAUAAUGAUAAAACUCUAAGAACAAGAAAGGUCUGUGGGGCAUUUAUGGAACAAAUUUUUGCUGCCUAGGUAAAAUUUAUUCUAAAGGCCUUAAUCUGGUCAUUAUUCCCCUUUUCUCUAGACUAUAAUGUAACUGCAAACUCCAAGCUGGUCAUUAUCACGGCUGGGGCACGUCAGCAAGAAGGAGAAAGCCGUCUUAAUUUGGUCCAGCGUAACGUGAACAUCUUUAAAUUCAUCAUUCCUAAUGUUGUGAAAUACAGCCCGAACUGCAAGUUGCUUAUUGUUUCAAAUCCAGUGGAUAUCUUGACCUACGUGGCUUGGAAGAUAAGUGGUUUUCCCAAAAACCGUGUUAUUGGAAGUGGCUGCAAUCUGGAUUCAGCCCGAUUCCGUUACCUGAUGGGGGAAAGGCUGGGAGUUCACCCAUUAAGCUGUCAUGGGUGGGUCCUUGGAGAACAUGGAGAUUCCAGUGUGCCUGUAUGGAGUGGAAUGAAUGUUGCUGGUGUCUCUCUGAAGACUCUGCACCCAGAUUUAGGGACUGAUAAAGAUAAGGAACAGUGGAAAGAGGUUCACAAGCAGGUGGUUGAGAGUGCUUAUGAGGUGAUCAAACUCAAAGGCUACACAUCCUGGGCCAUUGGACUCUCUGUAGCAGAUUUGGCAGAGAGUAUAAUGAAGAAUCUUAGGCGUGUGCACCCAGUUUCCACCAUGAUUAAGGGUCUUUAUGGAAUAAAGGAUGAUGUCUUCCUUAGUGUUCCUUGCAUUUUGGGACAGAAUGGAAUCUCAGACCUUGUGAAGGUGACUCUGACUUCUGAGGAAGAGGCCCGUUUGAAGAAGAGUGCAGAUACACUUUGGGGGAUCCAAAAGGAGCUGCAAUUUUAAAGUCUUCUGAUGUCAUAUCAUUUCACUGUCUAGGCUACAACAGGAUUCUAGUUGGAGGUUGUGCAUGUUGUCCUUUUUAUCUGAUCUGUGAUUAAAGCAGUAAUAUUUUAAGAUGGACUGGAAAAAACAUCAACUCCUGAAGUUAGAAAUAGGAAUGGUUUGUAAAAUCCACAGCUAUAUCCUGAUGCUGGAUGGUAUUAAUCUUGAUUAAUCUUGUGUAGUGCUAAACUGGUUAGUGUGAAAUAGUUCUGCCACCUCUGAUGCACCACUGCCAAUGCUGUACGUGCUGCAUUUGCCCCUUGAGCCAGGUGGA